GAUGAACGCUGGCGGCGUGCCUAAUACAUGCAAGUCGAGCGAACAGACGAGGAGCUUGCUCCUCUGACGUUAGCGGCGGACGGGUGAGUAACACGUGGAUAACCUACCUAUAAGACUGGGAUAACUUCGGGAAACCGGAGCUAAUACCGGAUAAUAUAUUGAACCGCAUGGUUCAAUAGUGAAAGACGGUUUUGCUGUCACUUAUAGAUGGAUCCGCGCCGCAUUAGCUAGUUGGUAAGGUAACGGCUUACCAAGGCAACGAUGCGUAGCCGACCUGAGAGGGUGAUCGGCCACACUGGAACGGAGACACGGUCCAGACUCCUAAGGGAGGCAGCAGUAGGGAAUCUUCCGCAAUGGGCGAAAGCCUGACGGAGCAACGCCGCGUGAGUGAUGAAGGUCUUCGGAUCGUAAAACUCUGUUAUUAGGGAAGAACAAAUGUGUAAGUAACUAUGCACGUCUUGACGGUACCUAAUCAGAAAGCCACGGCUAACUACGUG
rnacentral:rRNA from 1 species